UGCUACAGGCUUAACACAUGCAAGUCGAGGGGCAUCAGGAAGAAAGCUUGCUUUCUUUGCUGGCGACCGGCGCACGGGUGAGUAACACGUAUCCAACCUGCCCUUUACUCGGGGAUAGCCUUUCGAAAGAAAGAUUAAUACCCGAUAGCAUAAUGAUUCCGCAUGGUUUCAUUAUUAAAGGAUUCCGGUAAAGGAUGGGGAUGCGUUCCAUUAGGUUGUUGGUGGGGUAACGGCCCACCAAGCCUUCGAUGGAUAGGGGUUCUGAGAGGAAGGUCCCCCACAUUGGAACUGAGACACGGUCCAAACUCCUACGGGAGGCAGCAGUGAGGAAUAUUGGUCAAUGGGCGCUAGCCUGAACCAGCCAAGUAGCGUGAAGGAUGAAGGCUCUAUGGGUCGUAAACUUCUUUUAUAUAAGAAUAAAGUGCAGUAUGUAUACUGUUUUGUAUGUAUUAUAUGAAUAAGGAUCGGCUAACUCCGUGCCAGCAGCCGCGGUAAUACGGAGGAUCCGAGCGUUAUCCGGAUUUAUUGGGUUUAAAGGGAGCGUAGGUGGACUGGUAAGUCAGUUGUGAAAGUUUGCGGCUCAACCGUAAAAUUGCAGUUGAUACUGUCAGUCUUGAGUACAGUAGAGGUGGGCGGAAUUCGUGGUGUAGCGGUGAAAUGCUUAGAUAUCACGAAGAACUCCGAUUGCGAAGGCAGCUCACUGGACUGCAACUGACACUGAUGCUCGAAAGUGUGGGUAUCAAACAGGAUUAGAUACCCUGGUAGUCCACACAGUAAACGAUGAAUACUCGCUGUUUGCGAUAUACAGUAAGCGGCCAAGCGAAAGCAUUAAGUAUUCCACCUGGGGAGUACGCCGGCAACGGUGAAACUCAAAGGAAUUGACGGGGGCCCGCACAAGCGGAGGAACAUGUGGUUUAAUUCGAUGAUACGCGAGGAACCUUACCCGGGCUUAAAUUGCAGUGGAAUGAUGUGGAAACAUGUCAGUGAGCAAUCACCGCUGUGAAGGUGCUGCAUGGUUGUCGUCAGCUCGUGCCGUGAGGUGUCGGCUUAAGUGCCAUAACGAGCGCAACCCUUAUCUUUAGUUACUAACAGGUCAUGCUGAGGACUCUAGAGAGACUGCCGUCGUAAGAUGUGAGGAAGGUGGGGAUGACGUCAAAUCAGCACGGCCCUUACGUCCGGGGCUACACACGUGUUACAAUGGGGGGUACAGAAGGCAGCUAGCGGGUGACCGUAUGCUAAUCCCAAAAGCCUCUCUCAGUUCGGAUCGAAGUCUGCAACCCGACUUCGUGAAGCUGGAUUCGCUAGUAAUCGCGCAUCAGCCACGGCGCGGUGAAUACGUUCCCGGGCCUUGUACACACCGCCCGUCAAGCCAUGGGAGCCGGGGGUACCUGAAGUACGUAACCGCAAGGAGCGUCCUAGGGUAAAACUGGUGACUGGGGC
rnacentral:rRNA from 1 species